rnacentral:rRNA from 1 species
AUGGGCAUGCGUUCCAUUAGCUUGUUGGUGAGGUAACGGCUCACCAAGGCAACGAUGGAUAGGGGAACUGAGAGGUUUAUCCCCCACACUGGUACUGAGACACGGACCAGACUCCUACGGGAGGCAGCAGUGAGGAAUAUUGGUCAAUGGACGCAAGUCUGAACCAGCCACGUCGCGUGAAGGAAGACGGCCCUACGGGUUGUAAACUUCUUUUGUAAGGGAAUAAAGUGUAGUACGUGUACUAUUUUGCAUGUACCUUACGAAUAAGGAUCGGCUAACUCCGUGCCAGCAGCCGCGGUAAUACGGAGGAUCCGAGCGUUAUCCGGAUUUAUUGGGUUUAAAGGGUGCGCAGGCGGGAGAUUAAGUCGGCGGUGAAAUUUUGCAGCUCAACUGUAAAAGUGCCUUCGAAACUGAUUUCCUUGAGUGUGGAUGAAGUAGGCGGAAUUUGUGGUGUAGCGGUGAAAUGCAUAGAUAUCACGAGGAACUCCGAUUGCGCAGGCAGCUUACUAAACCAUAACUGACGCUCAGGCACGAAGGCGUGGGGAUCAAACAGGAUUAGAUACCCUGGUAGUCCACGCAGUAAACGAUGAUUACUAGCUGUUUGCGAUACAAUGUAAGCGGCUGAGCGAAAGCGUUAAGUAAUCCACCUGGGGAGUACGUUCGCAAGAAUGAAACUCAAAGGAAUUGACGGGGGCCCGCACAAGCGGAGGAACAUGUGAUUUAAUUCGAUGAUACGCGAGGAACCUUACCCGGGCUUGAAUGCAUCUGACCGGCCUUGAAAGAGCUUUCCCUUCGGGGCAGAUGUG